CCUUACUUAGCAAAUCAAAAUGUCACCAGCACCGGAUUGUACCCUAAUUUGGGGGGGAUCUUGACCGACGCAUUGGGUUUUGAGAACUCCUGGCAGGCGCUGCAGACUUCAGCCCUCCGUACCCUCCAGUUCCAUCUCCCACAAAAACUGCAUUUUCCAUCCAAGGUGGGAUGAAUCCUCAGCAGGGGAGCCUGUGGAUAAGGAAGGCCGACUUACGGGGGAGCCUGUGGAUAAGGAAGGCCAACUUUUCAUAUCCACGGAUUCCACAGGGCUGACUACAGGACGUGGGCCAAGGAUGGCGAGACCACCAAACUCUGCAAACUCAUAGAAAUAAAGCACGCGGUACGGGGACGCAGGCUUAAAUAACAAAAUAUAUUUCGAUAUGCACAGUUUUAACUGAGGACACACAAGCCUUCCUCAGGCUGCAGGCCCACCGCCCUCCCAGUGGGAUUCACAGCCCCUGCGGAGUUUGUCCUCACGCACACCACACACGAUCGGGUAUAAAACACAUUCUAUAAACACGUUCUGAUGCAAACUGUGUGUCCAUAAAUAUAUAUUUAUGCAAGUUCCUCCCACCCACUGCAGGGCCGUACAGCUCUGGGGACAGGAGGUCACAGCCGACUUUAAACCACAGGUUAAGUAGAAGGUUGCAGGUCAAAUAGAAGUUCCCGUGUGAUUGCAUCACCCAACGGCACUGUUCUGUCAUCAGGAAAUGCUGAGUGCCCGCCGUGGCCGGGUGGGCGCGGGCGGUGGUCAGACGCUGCUCUGGAGCUGGCUAUCUGUGGCACUGUCAGGGGCUGAGGACUGGCUGGGCAGACAAGUUUCCAGGCCAUCUGAAGACUCCGACAGGGGCUUGUAUAAGAAGCAGGCUAUGGCAAAGAAGAGGACGCCCAGCACCUGGGGAGAGAGGAGCCCGCUGGACCUCGUGGGGAGCUCGGCCAGAGCCUUUGGAUACUGGUGGGCCUGUCCCAGUCCUGUCCCUGCCCCAGCCUGCAGCACCCUCACCAGGUCCACGGAAACCCAUCCUGCUCUGAGAGGGUAUCUUUCCCAUAUAACCGGUUUGUAGAGCAGACGCCAAUAUUGUUAAAGAGGGAAUGAAACACACCCUUUGACUAAAAACAGAGGCACAGGACUGAGGGGCUUGUCAUGGGUUGAACAGUGCCAGACACCAGUGAAUGGGACCUUUUUUGGAAAUAGGGUCUUUGCAGAUGUAAUUAAGGAUUUGAGAUGAGACCAUCCUGGAUCUAAGGUGGGCCCCAAAUCCAAUGACUGGUGUCCUCAUGAGAGAAAGGAGAGGAAGACUUGAGGCAGGGACAGAGGGAAAGGCCACAUGCAGCUGCAGAGAGCCAGAGCGGCGGAAGGAGCCCGCCCUGCCCCCACCUGCAAGCGAAUCUGGUUCUGCUACAUCAGGCCACCCCGCUUGCGGUCCUUUGUCGUGGCGGCCACAGGAACCUCACACAGAGCCAGUCGCCGGUCACCACCACAGCCGGGGUUCAAGCCCCGGUGCCACCAUCAUGGGCAGUUCUGAACCUUCAGGGUCUUGGUUUCUUUGUCAACAAUGAGGGGCUGCACCGACUUUGCAGGGCAAGAGGACGAUGUGGCAGGAAUCCCACGUGGGCCCCAAAGGCGGUGAGGUCCAAGCACGGAUGCUGCCGCAAUGCCCACGCAGAGUACAUGUGCACCACUAUGAUUUCCACGCUGGGCGUGGACCAGAAACACCCACUGUGCCUCCUGGAGUGUCAGCCUGGCUGAUGGCCCUGAGCCUGCAUUCAGGGAGUGAGGCUGUUUUGACUCGGUGCAGGACAAAGUGGAAUGCGAGGGUGUUUAUAAGGAGACACCGUGUGCUCCCCCGCUACAAUUAACAUGGACGCAUGCGCUGCUGAGGCCAACUCUGACCCUCUGGAUACGGCUCCCGCUGGCUGUGCUGAGCCCAGGGGAUGGCUGCGUGUGGAGGGCUCUCAGCCUGCUGCUCCCAGCUAAGGGAUGCAUCCAACACAGCAAAGAGAGAGUCUGGGGACGGCUCCCUGGGAAAGUACAGCAGCCCCCUCAUCCGCAGACACUGAGACCCCUGUGGACGCGUGAGUCUAAGGGUAGUACUAAGCCCAGCCAAGGAACUACACCUUCUCGCUGAAGGAGGCGCCUCCGGCUUCCCAUUGGCAGAGCUGAACGGCGGCGUGAGUGCUCCGGUGCUUUGGGGCCAUGAUUAGGUAAAUAAGAGUGGCUUGAACAUGGCACUGUGAUAUGGUGAUGGGGGAUGUGGGAACCACACCGGCUGCUAAGUGAUCAACAGGUGGUGGCAUGAAUAGCCUGGACACGCUGGACAAAGGUUAUGUCUUAUGAAGUCAAAUGGUCAAUUUCCUGAUGCUCAUGUGCCUUUGGGCUUCCCCAAACACCACCACUCCCUGAGCAGAGACGCGCCUAACAGAGAGUCAACCGUUAUUUUAUGCCAAAGCGAAAGGCGUAUCACAGAGGGCUUGGGCCUUAGUAUCCAAUAUCCCCAAAGCUCCCUGCAGAAUAAGUUCUGACCUUGCCUUCUUCCAAAGUUGGACAAAGGGAGAAUCCGAGUCCUGGGCAGGACAGAUCAAGAUCUCACCAGACUGUGCAGAACGGCGCGUGCUUUAAAGGUUAUGAACUGUUUGCUUCUGGAAUUUCCUAUUUAAUACAUUCAGACUGUGGUGGACCUCUGGUAACUGAAACUGUGGAAAGUGAAACCUCAGAUGAGGGGGAAACCGAGGUGUAUGUCUCCUUAACCCACUGCUUCUCUCCAGAGCCACACAAGGCCCUGCUCAGACUCGCCUCUUUUCUGCUAAUCCGAGGGGAGGUGAACCAGCUGGGCUCCUUCCCUUUCUCUAACCUCCCUCCUGGAAAGCCUGAGGCCACGGGUUCCUGCAGGAUGAACUCUCCUGGGUCCGUCACCCAAGGAAGAGCGUCAAGAUCCUCUGAACAGCUGGCCGUGGGACCGCAUUUUAUUUAGAAGGCUUUGUGCUUUAUCGUCUAAUGGGGGCAAAUUCCAAACACAAAUACUGCGUUUCCUCCCAGGUAGCAUACGCCAAAAGUCACAACAGAAAGUUUCUGUUAGCUUGAAAAAUGAGGGCCAGACUAAGAGAUCCAAUGGAAUCCAAGGCGCACUGAUCACGGAGAGGCUGCAACCUGCCCGCCAGCCCCCCAGACUGAGGCCCGGAGUGGACCAGCUAGUCAAGCCGCUCUAACAGGAGCAGCCACUUCUUAUUUCUGCAAAGCUUUUAGUUAACGGGCAUCCCGGGUACGUGCAAGACCACACUGUGGAGGGGCAGUCCCAGGAGGUGGGAGAGGGAGCAGGGCCUGGGCCUGGGCUUUGCUGGAGCUGCUGGGGGCCUGGACAGUGAACCCCAGGAGGAGGCCCUGCAGCCCACCUGCCUCUCCCCACAACCAACUCAUGAGGAAUGUGGGAAGGGCCUUCUACAAACUGGCUGCAGGAACAUCUGUGAUGUACUAGGCUGUGGUCCAAGCUGCUGGAAGAUCGCGGCAUGUUCGGAGCCCCCAGCCACCCUCAGAGCAGACCCUCUGUCCCCUCCCUGGGCCUGCUUACCUUGUACAGGAGCCCCAUGAUGAGUAUGUAGCGGCUCAUGGCCGAAUUCUGGUACACCAAGCAGGAGCCCUGCUGGCCACACUGGUCCUGCCACAGCAGACAGGCCUUGUCGAUCACCCAGCCGAAGGCGAUGGGCCCCGGGAU
rnacentral:lncRNA from 1 species